rnacentral:rRNA from 1 species
CUGCUGCCUCCCGUAGGAGUCUGGGCCGUGUCUCAGUCCCAGUGUGGCCGUCCACCCUCUCAGGCCGGCUGCUGAUCGUCGCUUUGGUGGGCCGUUACCCCGCCAACUGGCUAAUCAGACGCGGGCCCAUCCUGUACCACCGGAGUUUUCAAAGGAUUACCAUGCGGUAUUCCCUAUUAUGCGGUAUUAGCACCUAUUUCUAAGUGUUAUCCCCCGGUACAGGGCAGGUUGCCCACGCGUUACUCACCCGUCCGCCACUAAGACAG